rnacentral:rRNA from 1 species
AUGAACGCUGGCGGCGUGCUUAACACAUGCAAGUCGCACGAUGAAGCCCAGCUUGCUGGGUGGAUUAGUGGCGAACGGGUGAGUAACACGUGAGUAACCUGCCCUUGACUCUGGGAUAAGCCUGGGAAACUGGGUCUAAUACUGGAUAUGCCUUCUCAUCGCAUGGUGGGGGGUGGAAAGAUUUAUUGGUCUUGGAUGGACUCGCGGCCUAUCAGCUUGUUGGUGAGGUAAUGGCUCACCAAGGCGACGACGGGUAGCCGGCCUGAGAGGGUGACCGGCCACACUGGGACUGAGACACGGCCCAGACUCCUACGGGAGGCAGCAGUGGGGAAUAUUGCACAAUGGGCGCAAGCCUGAUGCAGCGACGCCGCGUGAGGGAUGACGGCCUUCGGGUUGUAAACCUCUUUCAGUAGGGAAGAAGCGAGAGUGACGGUACCUGCAGAAGAAGCGCCGGCUAACUACGUG